AGCUUCGUAGUUGAGCGGUAAAGAUAUUUUCCUCUAACACUGGAGACCCGGGUUCGAUCCCCGGUCGAGGAGCUG